GACUUGGCAGAAUUAGAUGCGAUUGAUUUAGGAUCAAUUUAUAAUAUUAGAUAUUAGUC
rnacentral:tRNA from 1 species